GUACGCAACUUGGACAACCUACGCUCUCUGAAUGCGGCCUCUGCAUGUUCCAUCUCAUUCUCAGUCGGACUUUGGAACUGCCGAUUGCUGUCAACAAGGCAGAUUUCAUUUCUGCAUUUGCAACCCACUCCAACCUCAGUGUGCUGGCUCUGACUGAGACCUGGAUCCAUGCUGAGAACACUACCACACCUGCUGCCCUGGCCUCCAACUUCAACUUCUCCCAUACCUCACGUCACAACAGACGAGGGGGUGGUACAGGUUUGCUUCUCUCCAAAACAUGGAAAUUUACCUGUCUUUCUCCCUCUUGCUCAUACACUUCCUUUGAAUUUCAUGCUGUUACAGUCACUGACCCUUCCAAAAUAAACUUUCUUGUUGUUUACCGUCCUCCAGGUGAACUGGGGAAGUUCAUCGAUGAAUUUGGCACGCUACUGUCCACCAUCCUAGAUGAUGGAACUCCGCUUCUGGUCCUUGGUUAUUUCAACAUUCAUCUAGACAAGCCACAUGCAGCUGACUUUCUUGCUCUCCUUUCCACAUUCGACCUCAAGCAGUUCACCACACCAGCAACCCACAAAGCCGGCAAACAGCUCAUCCUCACAAAACAACCUCCUGGACACCAAGCAGUCUGGCUUUAAGAGCAACCACUCCAUGGAGACUGCUCUGUUUUCCGUCACUGAAGCCUUACGACUAGCAAGAGCAAUCUCUAGAUCAUCUGUCCUCAUCCUACUUGACCUCUCUGCUGCUUUCGACACUGUGAAUCAUCAGAUACUCCUGACAACUCUCUCCAGACUGGGCAUCACUGAAACGGAUCUGCGCUGGGUAGAAUCCCAUCUCUAUGACAGAUCCUUCAAGGUAUCAUGGAGGGGAGGUAUUUCUGAAACUCAGCAAC
ensembl:lncRNA